rfam:Beta vulgaris subsp. vulgaris Bvchr2.sca015.con0065.1, whole genome shotgun sequence.
AUGGAGUUGAUGAUUAUUUCCCCAGAUGAUCGACGCUGAUUAAACUGUGCUAAAUUUGUUCUCUUAUGAGAAUCUAAGCCAGAUCUCUGAUCUAU